AUGGGCUCAGGUUACACCUUCCCAGCUGGUGUUUCUGUCCCAGGAACCUUUCUUCAGUCUGCAGCUCACUCUCCAGCAGCAAACCAGGUGCAAGCUGGGAAACAGUCCCACAUUCCUUACAGCCAGCAACGGCCCUCUGGACCAGGGCCAAUGAACCAGGGACCUCAACAAUCACUGCCACCUUCCCAGCAACCCCUUACACCUUUACCAGCUCAGCCAACAGCACAGUCUUCAAGCCAGUUGCAGGUUCAAGCUCUAGCUCAGCAGCAACAAUCCCCUACAAAAGCUGUGCCAGCUUUGGGGAAAAGCCCACCUCACCACUCUGGAUCCCAGCAGUAUCAACAGGCAGAUGCCUCCAAACAGCUGUGGAAUCCCCCUCAGGUUCAAGGCCCACUAGCGAAAAUCAUGCCUAUGAAACAGCCCUACUACCUUCAGACUCAAGACCCCAUAAAACUGUUUGAGCCGUCAUUGCAACCUCCUGUAAUGCAGCAGCAGCCUCUAGAGAAAAAAAUGAAGCCUUUUCCCAUGGAACCAUAUAACCAUAAUCCCUCAGAAUUCAAGGUCCCAGAAUUCUACUGGGAUUCUUCCUACACCAUAGCUGAUAACAGAGCUGUAAUGGCACAGCAAGCAAACAUGGACCACAGGGGCAAAUGGUCAACAGGAGUCUUCCGUCCAGAGCAGGAUCCUGUCCCCAGGAUGCCAUUCGAGAAAUCCUUGUUGGAGAAGCCUUCAGAGCUCAUGUCACAUUCAUCCUCUUUCCUGUCCCUCACCGGGUUCUCUCUUAAUCAGGAAAGAUACCCAAAUAACGGCAUGUUCAAUGAGGUAUAUGGAAAGAACCUGAUAGCCAGUUCCAAAGCAGAGCUUAAUCCCUCGAUGCCCUCCCAGGAAACAUCACUGUAUUCAUUCCCUUUUUGAAGGGACUCCAUGGUCCCCAUCACUUCCUGCCAGUUCAGAUCAUUCAACACCAGCCAGCCAGUCUCCUCUUUCCUCCAACCCAAGCAGCCUGCCCAGCUCUCCUCCAACACACAACCAUAAUUCUGUUCCAUUCUCCAAUUUUGGACCCAUUGGGACUCCAGAUAACAGGGAUAGAAGAAAUGCACAUCAGUGGAAAACUGAUAAACCAGCCAUGGGUGGGUUUGGUGUUGAUUAUCUCUCAGCAACAUCAUCCUCUGAGAGCAGUUGGCAUCAGGCCAGCACUCCAAUUGGCACCUGGACAGGCCAUGGCCCUUCCAUGGAGGAUUCCUCUGCUGUCCUCAUGGAAAGCCUAAAGUCUAUCUGGUCCAGUUCCAUGAUGCAUUCUGGACCCUCCACUCUGGAGCAGUUGUUAAUGCAGCAGAAGCAGAAACAGCAGCGGGGACAAAGCACCAUGAACCCUCCACACUGAGGCCAAAGUGACAACCCUGGGAAUGAAGGUUCCAUAAACCAUGGCAUGUUAGGUUUGCAGGAUUGGCCUACACAGUCCCAUGCAGGUGGCAGCCCUCUUGUCUGUUCCUUGCUAUCAAGAGGAUGUAAGUGUUCCACCAGCCUGCUGAGUGUGCGCAAUAUGUCUGCAGUGCAACGAAAAGAAAAACCCAUCAGGAGCUCUCGGUCCCUCCAGGUCCUUCUGGAGGGAGAGAGGAACUGCUGUUUGUCUCACUCAGUUACCUGAUAUCACCACCUCUCACCUUCUCCAUCGUGCAUGUCCCCAGACACAUGGGAAGUGAAAGCUGAGAAGGGAAGGCAGGUAGGAGAAGCCAAUGGGAACUUCUCAGUCCUUUUUUCCCUCUUUGGGGAAUAAAGUAGGAAUCCAGUAAUGAUUGCUUUGCUGACUGAGAAUGUAGUUGAAAUUAUUCCUAAACAUCUUUUAUUAUUGUUAUUACUCUCAGUAGUAAAAUAUCACACUGAAUUCUUCCAUACAAGGUGUUCUUCUAGUCAGUGUGUAGCAAAGACAGCCCCAUUCACUGCUCCUGUGAGAGGUUGGUGGUGACAGGAUAGGGAACCGACCUCCUCAGCCAGUGGAAGUGUUCUGUGGAGAGAAUACAGGGCCUCACAGAAGGUUCUGGCAGGCCCUUCUCUGGCCUGGAGAUUCCAGCAGUAAAUGCCCUUCACUCUGUAGGUGCUCGAGCCCUCGAGGAUGCAGUGUGGGUAUUGGUGCUGGGCUAGACUAGCAGCUGACUGCUGUAGGGUUUCAAAUUAAUGUUUUUGAUUUCUGUACUUUUUGCAGUAGCAUAGCAAGCAGUCUCACAGAAGGCAGGCUAGUUCAUUCAUGGCCUGACACAUUUUAUUAGGUAGAAGCUUUCAGUGUGGUUUUUUUUUGUUUGGUUGGUUUUGUGCCCUUAUCCUACUUACCAGCCUCCUGCACCUGUGUCCAUCCCUUCUGCUAGUAAUUGUUUUUAUUCCUGAUGUGUACAACAUUUCGCCAAGAAGCAACAGCAUGGGGUCCAGCAGUUGGGGCCCAAAGGACAGUCUGAAGAGGAGGGAAGCAGUACCACCUGCAUAGCCAGAGAGGCCAGGCCCCUGCCCAGCCGCAGUCUCCCAGCCUCCACUUCAACAGUGAGAUUCAAGGCACCAUGGACACAUGUACGUCGUGAAGAGAAGAAAACAUAACGAAGGCCAUUUUGGAAAAGGCGAGAGAAAAGAAAAUAAACUUUUUAUUUGAUAUUUAUUAGGAGGAAAGAGGACUGAAGAUGUUCUUGUGUAGAAACGGACAACAUUUCUGUUAGUCACUUCCUGGAAAAGUAAUAUUUUAAGGGAAAAUUAUGGAAAUAAUCUAAAUGUCCAAUUGCUGUGCUAGUGGUAGGGAUUUUCUGGGAGGUGUGUGUGUGUGUGUGUGUGUGUGCGUGUGUGUACCCACACAUGCCCAUCUGCUCCACCAAAGGGAAGGGGUUGUGUGUAUGAGUGUAUGGAGUUGGUAUGAAACUUAGCUGGGAAACAGCUGCAGAGCAAAGCACAUCAAGGAGCCCCAGUUGUCACUGGAGUCUGGCAACCCCAGCAAUUAAAAGGGAUGAGAUAAUGCUCAUUGCUCUUCAGAAAGAGUGGUUGAAGCCCCCAUAUGCUUACAUUAUUGCUCUUUUAGUUUGAUAUGGUAUUUGGGUUUUUUGUUUUUGUUUUGUUUGUUUUGAAAAGUCUGAAAGGGUAAAGCCCCUCCAUCUAAUGGCAAUAUGAAAAACCCUUUGUGCUUCUCUCCAUCCCCUUCCCUGUGUCUACCCCCCACCCCUUUCCCUACUGCCUUUACCCGGUUUGUGUGUUUGAGCUCUGCAUUCAGGCAGCUGCAACAUUCCAGUGUUUGAACUGUCACUGACCCUUGCACCCUAGACAAGCUAACCAGGUUUACCGUCUCCCUCCCAGUAGUGCCCAGUUCCCAUCUACAGCCCCAUUCUGCAUGAGAAUUUGGUGUGUGGAAUGUUUUCUGACUCUUGGAGUGGGGUUCCUCGCCUUAUCAUCCUCACUGCAGGAGUAAUGAGGAGGGGAAGGAGAAUCUUCAUCAAAAACUGGUUUUGUGUAGUAAACUUACUUUUGUGGGGGUUUUUGUUUGUUAUUGGGGGGGGUCUUUUCUUUUUCUUGUCUGUCUGUACAAGACCUGCAGCUGCUGAAAUCAGCUUUGCCUUUAAUUAAACCAUGUUCUCUCCAACCAAAAAAAAGAAAGAGAACUUCCAGAACUGCUUCAGAGAGUGACAAGAAUGAGGAGA
rnacentral:lncRNA from 1 species